UGGGGAAUUUGGACAAUGGGCGAAAGCCUGAUCCAGCAAUGCCGCGUGUGUGAAGAAGGCCUUCGGGUUGUAAAGCACUUUUGUCCGGAAAGAAAUCCUUGGCUCUAAUACAGUCGGGGGAUGACGGUACCGGAAGAAUAAGCACCGGCUAACUACGUGCCAGCAGCCGCGGUAAUACGUAGGGUGCAAGCGUUAAUCGGAAUUACUGGGCGUAAAGCGUGCGCAGGCGGUUUGCUAAGACCGAUGUGAAAUCCCCGGGCUCAACCUGGGAACUGCAUUGGUGACUGGCAGGCUAGAGUAUGGCAGAGGGGGGUAGAAUUCCACGUGUAGCAGUGAAAUGCGUAGAGAUGUGGAGGAAUACCGAUGGCGAAGGCAGCCCCCUGGGCCAAUACUGACGCUCAUGCACGAAAGCGUGGGGAGCAAAACAGGAUUAGAUACCCUGGUAGUCCACGCCCUAAAACGAUGUCAACUAGUUGUUGGGGAUUCAUUUCCUUAGUAACGUAGCUAACGCGUGAAGUUGACCGCCUGGGGAGUACGGUCGCAAGAUUAAAACUUAAAGGAAUUGAC
rnacentral:rRNA from 1 species